GCAAACUGUACACAUACAGAUUAUGAACUUCUGCUGUUAGAUGUGUAAAAGAGUAAUUCUCUUUUAUUCUUGCAUUUUUUAUGUUCAUGUUCCUGCACUUGGGUGUUCAGCAUGAAUGUGCAUCCUCAGGAUUUUUGUUGAAGCCUUGUACUCAGCUUUCAUGUUCUAAGGAGAAUCUUCUGCACCUUGGCCACCUUUCCUUUGUUGAAAUUGAAGCUUCUGCACUUUGGCCACCUUUUACCAUGUAGAAAUUGAAGCUUCCACACCUUGGCCACCUUUUCCAUGUAGAAAUUGAAGUGGCAAGGUUCCAUAUCCUUGAGUUGUCUACACCUGGGGAGGCUUUGUUGACUGGUGGUACUUGAUUUUAGAGAGACCAAAUGCGGAAAUUAUUCUUAGCAUGACAACUUGUUUUUAUGCGAUCGUUAGGCCAUUAUAGGAAGCUAUUAAUCCCAAUAGCUGGGCAUGGGUUGUUGCUAUAAAAUAAUUAGAUGGAGAUGGGCUCCAAGGAAACAUGGAAAUUGUGUUAGUUCUCAUUGGAAGACCAUUUUCACAGUAAGAUGGCAAUGCUGACACGCUUCAAUUUUGGCUAUUUACUACAUAUUUAGUUCAGUUUGCUAUUUAGGCCAACCAAGCAUCCAAACACACCCAAAAUGAUAUUUAGUCAAGUUUCUUAUUCAUGGCAAUCUUUUUAAUAUAGUGGUUUUUCUAUA